UGGUGUGAUCUUGGCUCACUGUAACCUCCACCUCCCAGGUUCAAGUGAUUCUCAUGCCUCAGCCUCCCAAGUAGCUGAGAUUAUGGGAGAAAAGGCCUCGGAGUAAACUUCCCAGAGCUCUGAGAGGUCUCAUGGGUGAAGCCAACAUUCGUUUUGCUCGAGGAGAACGUGAAGAGGCGAUAUUGAUGUGCAUGGAAAUCAUAAGACAAGCUCCUCUGGCUUAUGAGCCAUUCUCUACUCUUGCCAUGAUAUAUGAGGACCAAGGUGACAUGGAAAAAUCAUUGCAGUUUGAGUUGAUUGCUGCGCAUUUAAAUCCCAGUGACACAGAAGAAUGGGUUAGACUGGCAGAAAUGUCUCUGGAACAAGACAAUAUUAAGCAGGCUAUUUUUUGCUAUACAAAAGCUCUUAAAUAUGAACCUACUAAUGUUCGUUAUCUGUGGGAGCGAUCAAGCCUUUAUGAACAGAUGGGUGAUCAUAAAAUGGCCAUGGAUGGUUAUAGGCGUAUUUUAAACCUUUUGUCUCCAUCUGAUGGCGAACGUUUUAUGCAGCUGGCUAGAGAUAUGGCAAAGAGUUACUAUGAAGCCAAUGAUGUUACUUCUGCUAUUAACAUAAUUGAUGAAGCUUUCUCAAAACACCAGGGCCUAGUCUCCAUGGAAGAUGUUAACAUAGCAGCUGAACUAUAUAUUUCUAACAAACAGUAUGACAAAGCUUUG
rnacentral:sRNA from 1 species